rnacentral:rRNA from 1 species
AGAGCGAACGCUGGCGGCAGGCCUAACACAUGCAAGUCGAGCGCCCGUAGCAAUACGGGAGCGGCAGACGGGAGAGUAACACGUGGGAACGCGCCCUUCGGUUCGGAAUAACUCAGGGAAACUUGAGCUAAUACCGGAUACGCCCUUACGGGGAAAGAUUUAUUGCCGAAGGAACGGCCCGCGUCCGAUUAGCUUGUUGGUGAGGUAAUGGCUCACCAAGGCGACGAUCGGUAGCUGGUCUGAGAGGAUGACCAGCCUCACUGGGACUGAGACACGGCCCAGACUCCUACGGGAGGCAGCAGUGGGGAAUAUUGGACAAUGGGCGCAAGCCUGAUCCAGCCAUGCCGCGUGGAUGAUGAAGGCCCUAGGGUUGUAAAGUCCUUUUAACGGGGAAGAUAAUGACGGUACCGUAGAAUAAGCCCCGGCUAACUUCGUGCCAGCAGCCGC